AUUGAACGCUGGCGGCAGGCCUAACACAUGCAAGUCGAGCGAGUGGCGGACGGGUGAGUAAUGUCUGGGAAACUGCCUGAUGGAGGGGGAUAACUACUGGAAACGGUAGCUAAUACCGCAUACCAUCAGAUGUGCCCAGAUGGGAUUAGCUUGUGGGUGGGGUAACGGCUCACCUAGGCGACGAUCCCUAGCUGGUCUGAGAGGAUGACCAGCCACACUGGAACUGAGACACGGUCCAGACUCCUACGGGAGGCAGCAGUGGGGAAUAUUGGACAAUGGGCGAAAGCCUGAUCCAGCCAUGCCGCGUGUGUGAAGAAGGUCUUCGGAGUGUAAAGCACUUUAAGCUGGGAGGCGUUACCCACAGAAUAAGCACCGGCUAACUUCGUGCCAGCAGCCGCGGUAAUUC
rnacentral:rRNA from 1 species